CGCGGAACGAUCCAUUUUCGGUCAAUGUAUUUCAAGCAGUCCAAAUCACUGAUUUAAGUCUGUUUGACAUGAUUCUUUACAAGUGGAUCCCACCCGUGAGGUGCCAGGCCGACCUGUUAGCCUGCUUUGCCCACAUCUAUCCCCCCUCUCCCUUGGUGGGGUCAGGUUUAAGCCGACGUGGCAUCGACAACGUGAGGCCCAUCUGUCAGGAAUUUUAUUAAACAGGCUUAAUCCAGUAUUUUGGUACUACUUGAGACGGACUGUAUUAAAAAUGAGUGGUUCCGCGAACA